rnacentral:misc_RNA from 1 species
CUGAGUAAGGGUGUUCUACGCCCGAUCUCCAACCCUAUGUUAAAACACUUUGUUGCUUUGGCAGGCCCGUCUUUCGGGACCGCCGGGGGCAUUCCAGCCUCUGGUCAGUGCUUGCCAGUAGCCAAUUCAAAUUCUUUAUUAAAAAUGAAGUCUGAAUAUUAAUUAAAAUUUAAUUA